UGCUAGAGUAGAAGGAGUUGCGAACGGGUGAGUAACGCGUAGGUAACCUGCCUACUAGCGGGGGAUAACUAUUGGAAACGAUAGCUAAUACCGCAUAACAGUGUUUAACACAUGUUAGAUGCUUGAAAGAUGCAAUUGCAUCACUAGUAGAUGGACCUGCGUUGUAUUAGCUAGUUGGUGGGGUAACGGCCCACCAAGGCGACGAUACAUAGCCGACCUGAGAGGGUGAUCGGCCACACUGGGACUGAGACACGGCCCAGACUCCUACGGGAGGCAGCAGUAGGGAAUCUUCGGCAAUGGGGGCAACCCUGACCGAGCAACGCCGCGUGAGUGAAGAAGGUUUUCGGAUCGUAAAGCUCUGUUGUAAGAGAAGAACGUGUGUGAGAGUGGAAAGUUCACACAGUGACGGUAACUUACCAGAAAGGGACGGCUAACUACGUGCCAGCAGCCGCGGUAAUACGUAGGUCCCGAGCGUUGUCCGGAUUUAUUGGGCGUAAAGCGAGCGCAGGCGGUUUAAUAAGUCUGAAGUUAAAGGCAGUGGCUUAACCAUUGUUCGCUUUGGAAACUGUUAAACUUGAGUGCAGAAGGGGAGAGUGGAAUUCCAUGUGUAGCGGUGAAAUGCGUAGAUAUAUGGAGGAACACCGGUGGCGAAAGCGGCUCUCUGGUCUGUAACUGACG
rnacentral:rRNA from 1 species